GUCGAUGUCAUACACGAGGUCAUAACGCGGUGAAAUUGGUCCAUUAAUUUAUUGAAACUUUGGAUGGUACAAUGGCAUGGAACUGUCGAGCCCAUUGAAUAGAAAGAAUUCGGUCUUACAUAAUACAAGACAACAAGAUGGUAAAGGAAUAUAUUCCUUAUGUACAAGGUUUAUUACAAUGACAACGUGCUCAAUUAAAUCAAAACAAAUAAUGCUCACCUUAAACCAUUUUCGAGAACAAAAAUAAAUGAAUAAAAUUUAACACUCAUUUGACUCUGUCAAAUCUCACACUAAAUUCACAUUCCACAAAACUCAAAUGAAGAAAGUGAAAGCAUAAGUUCAAUACGUAUGAUCGUUCUAUCAUUUAUUUUUACACAGAAUGAAUGGUCACUUUAACUAAAUCCUUGUUUUGGCAUAAGCAUUAAUCAUACUGUAUUUGAGUUUUGUGAAGCUUUUGAAUAUCAAAACAAAUAUGCUUUUCCUGAAGCAACAUAACCACCAACAUAAAUCCUAAUACCAAAUUAGCAGAAAACAACUAAUAAAUCCAAUUGGAUACCACAAAAAGCAACAAAACGUAAAUAGACCCAAUUAAAGAGACAACACUUCAUCAUACGGUAAGGAGCAAAAAACUAACAUCAUGAAUUAUCAUUAAUACUCUGCUUUCCUACUGCAUAUUUGACCCAAUCCUGAUACCAUUUGCUAUUAUGCGAAGUUAAAACAAAAAUCUAUGGACUUAGAGGUAAACCAACCGACCUUCGUAUGAGCAGCAAGAUUUGAAGCGAACUCGUGAUAUGGGCCAGACGUUAGCUCCUGAAAGAUUGCGUCGAACAUCAGAUCUUCAUGCCUUUUGACUUCCGAAUGAACGAACAAUCUUCCUUCAAUGGACUCGCAUUCUGAUCCCCAACAUAAACCAGUAACUACACAACGAUCUGCACAACUAUGGAACCAUGUACUACCACCUCUCUUACUGUGAACGCGACUGAACGCUUUGAGUACGCCGUCCUUUGAAACGAACAGUUAAGUUGACGAUAUCCGGUGUGUUGUUGGAGUAGGUUCGUCGAUGGAAGAUGGACGGAGAUGGAACCCUGAGAGCGGCGGUUUUGACUGAGGUCGUUAUGUGUAGAUCGGAUGGAUCUCGUGGCGGUAGGGCGGAGGUUUUGUCGGCCCUCAGGAUUGGCGACAAACAGAGCCGUUGUGAGUUGUUUUCACGGUUGUGAUUUGAGUGAAGACGGAGAUGAAGGUGUCGUGAGGUGGGAAAAAGGAUGAGGGUGAAGCGGCGUUUUCGGCGGUGGAGGUAGGUGGAUUCGCCGGUGGUUAUGAGGUCGUUGGUGGUGGAGAUGAUGACGAUGGAUGGUGGUUGAAGAAGGUGGAGGGCGGCGUUUCUGGUGUGUGGAAGAUAGGAGAUUUUGAGGGAAGUGAGAGAGACGGAUCUCGUGAUAGGUGGUAGGUGAAGAAUUUGUUGUGAGUGUAAGGUGUGUGUUUUUGCUGAGAGUGUGAGAGGAAAAGGAAUGGGAAGAGAGGCACGUGUAGUGAGUGUCGUGAGUGUAGUAGUGGGAGGUGUUUAUUAAUGAAUGGAGAGAGAGGGUGAGGUGGCGAGAGAAG
rnacentral:lncRNA from 1 species